rnacentral:rRNA from 1 species
GUGUCAGCCGCCGCGGUAAGACAGAGGGUGCAAACGUUGUUCGGAAUUACUGGGCGUAAAGCGCGCGUAGGCGGCCGUGCAAGUCGGGCGUGAAAUCCCAUGGCUCAACCAUGGAAGUGCACUCGAAACUGCACAGCUGGAGUCUCGGAGAGGAAGGCGGAAUGCUUGGUGUAGAGGUGAAAUUCGUAGAUAUCAAGCGGAACACCGGUGGCGAAGGCGGCCUUCUGGACGAUGACUGACGCUGAAGCGCGAAAGCGUGGGGAGCAAACAGGAUUAGAAACCCCUGUAGUCC